CCUACGGGUGGCAGCAGUGGGGAAUAUUGCGCAAUGGGCGAAAGCCUGACGCAGCGACGCCGCGUGCGGGAUGAAGGUCUUCGGAUCGUAAACCUCUGUCAGCAGGGAAGAACGGUCACUGUGCUAAUCAGCAGUGAAUUGACGGUACCUGCAAAGGAAGCACCGGCUAACUCCGGGCCAGCAGCCGCGGUAAUACGGAGGGGGCGAGCGUUAAUCGGAAUUACUGGGCGUAAAGCGCUCGUAGGCGGUAGGUCAAGUCAAGGGUGAAAUCCCCGCGCUCAACGUGGGAACUGCCUUUGAAACGGGCAAACUGGAGUGUGUGAGAGGAUAGUGGAAUUCCAGGUGUAGGAGUGAAAUGCGUAGAUAUCUGGAGGAACACCAGGGGCGAAGGCGACUAUCUGGCACAUAACUGACGCUGAGGAGCGAAAGCGUGGGUAGCAAACAGGAUUAGAUACCCGGGUAGUC
rnacentral:rRNA from 1 species